rnacentral:rRNA from 1 species
AACGAACGCUGGCGGCAUGCCUAACACAUGCCAGUCGAACGAUGCCUUCGGGCAUAGUGGCGCACGGGUGCGUAACGCGUGGGAAUCUGCCUUUCGGUUCGGAAUAACUCAGGGAAACUUGAGCUAAUACCGGAUAACGUCGCAAGACCAAAGAUUUAUCACCGAAAGAUGAGCCCGCGUAGGAUUAGCUAGUUGGUGAGGUAAAGGCUCACCAAGGCGACGAUCCUUAGCUGGUCUGAGAGGAUGAUCAGCCACACUGGGACUGAGACACGGCCCAGACUCCUACGGGAGGCAGCAGUGGGGAAUAUUGGACAAUGGGCGAAAGCCUGAUCCAGCAAUGCCGCGUGAGUGAUGAAGGCCUUAGGGUUGUAAAGCUCUUUUACCCGGGAAGAUAAUGACGGUACCGGGAGAAUAAGCCCCGGCUAACUCCGUGC